rnacentral:rRNA from 1 species
UACGUAGGGUGCGAGCGUUAAUCGGAAUUACUGGGCGUAAAGCGUGCGCAGGCGGUUCGACAAGUCUGAUGUGAAAUCCCCGGGCUCAACCUGGGAACUGCGUUGGAAACUGUCGGGCUAGAGUGUAGAAGAGGGGGGUAGAAUUCCACGUGUAGCAGUGAAAUGCGUAGAGAUGUGGAGGAAUACCGAUGGCGAAGGCAGCCCCCUGGGCUAACACUGACGCUCAUGCACGAAAGCGUGGGGAGCAAACAGG